AUUGCAAUUAGUGCUGCUUAAUUCGUAGCAUACGCGUUGAUUAGCAACGGCUAAUUAAUCUGAAGUCAAACAUAUUGGCUAGCUGAUAUUUCGUAAAUAACCCGUCCCCGGUCCGUCUCCCUCGAGGCGACCGGGGGAACCCAACCCUAGCCGACACCAAAUCCCUUCCCUCCAGAUCCCCUUUGCUGCCGCUGCCGCCGGCCUGGCCGCGGUGGCGGCGGCCUCCCUGCUGCUGCCGAAGGUGGUGGUCGGGGCGGGAGCUUCUCUCUCCUCCGCGGCGUGCGGCGUUCGGCGUGGCGGCCUCCAUGGCGGGCGGGGAAGCUUCGUGGCGCGGCGGCGCUGUCCGGCGUGCCGUCAGCUCCUAUGCUCGGCGGGAGUUCCAGGUGGUCGGGGCGGCGGUUUGGUCGUCCGGAUCGGGGGCCUGGCGCCCGGAUCCGGCGGUUGGCUGCGUCCCGAGUGGCGGCGAGCGUCUUGCUGGCCGGCUUGGGGUCUGGGGCGGCGCCCCCAGUGGUGGUUUGUUGCUCUUCUCUCGCCUGCGUUCGUCGUGUGGCUUCGGCUGUCGUCUCUCUUGGCGUCUCUGUUUGCUUCCGCCUGCCAUGGUUUGAUGGGGACGGGUGAAAGCUCAGGCCGGCGGUCGCCGGCUCCGACAAUGACGACGCCUGUGGGCGCCGUAGCCCUCCUUGGAGGCAUUGUUGUGGCCCCUCGCUCAGAUCCGGGUGAAAACCCUAGGUCCUUUGGACCGGACAGCGGUGGCACAUCUGUGUCGCAUGCUCCUUGGAGACGUUGUCUUGGUUCUGUGUUUCCCUUUCGGGUCGGUUGGCUUCCAGUGGAUGGCGGGCAGCGGCUUCUUUUGGCUCCCUCCUCGGUCAACGUCGAUCUUAUGUUUCGUGCUUUGUGAUGAGCUUCGUGUUCCUAGUGUUGCCUCGGCUGCUCGGUGCUUUUCGACGGCGUGAAUGGCUAGCUUCUGACCGCAAUCCUCGGGGUUGUCCUGCGGUGGUCAAGGUUCGUGUGCGGGGGAGGAGCAAGUCCAAGGGCUGCUUGUUUGGUUGCAUGGGUGGAUGGUGAGACCGAUCAAUCAAAUUCAAGAAAUUAAGGGAAAAUGUGUUUGUUCAUUUGGUGCGCCAGGACGGGCAUGUAAUAUAUAUUGGUAUCGAGUUGAAAUAUGAGCCAUGUAUAGAAAAAAAAAAGAGAUGUGUUUUCUUUUGACUGCUUAAUUUGGAAGUCGUUAUUUGUUUUUGCUCUGUGUAUAGUGAUGUCAGGAAGAAAGAAAGGAAAAGACCGUAUGACUAUUUUGUACAGUGAGGCUUUGGAAAAGAAAAGAAAUAAAGUUGCGACAACUAAAUUUCAAGCAGGCA